CCCGGCCCGACCCGGAUCAACACAGCCCGUUAACAACCCACCUCUAAUUGAACCCGGACCGGCCCGGACCGGACCCGGACGGGUCAGAAAAAUUGGACCCGGCCCCGGCCCGGCCCACCCGUUGGUCACCUAUAAUUGAACUCACAAAUUCAUUGUCCCCGUUCAAACUAGCUAUGAGAUAUUCAAUAGAAGAUUGAGUUCUCCCACUAAUUACGAACCAAUCCAGCUCUUAUAAGAGUAUUUGUCAACAUCCAACAGAAUGUAAUAUAUUCUAGACUCAGAAAAAGCAAGUAAACAAAAUAACCUAAGUUGUGAACAAAACAAAUAGUGACUAUACUCAAAGCUCCAGAUUUCCGUUUCAACUUCAAAUUCGGCCUUACAUUAGGUAAAAUGCAGAAGUGUGUACCUGGAUAAUAGAAAAAUAGACAAGAAAUUUAGUCUGAAACUAAAAGGAAAUAGCAAUAGCAGCAAACCAAACGAAACAGGAAAUGACAGCAGAAAAUCAGCUCAGGAUCAACAAUGGAACAGUGAUCUACAACUCUUAAAUCAUCUUUUAACCUAGAAAAAGCUAGAAAUACUUUGAAGGUUUGGAAUGUAAAGACCAAAUGCAGAGUUGGACCAAUUUUUUUACCAAAAUACAAGAGUUAUUUCAAGUUCUUUUCUUAGCUCAGCCGUUUUUAAUAUUCAAAAUUUUUUCUCUUUUUAAAAUCUACCUUGUUCAAGAAGAAAGGGUGCCUUUAUAGGUAAAGCAUUAGGGCAGCAAAGCUGAAAUUUUUUUUACGCAUUAGACCUUUUUGAAUUGUCAUUUUUGCUUAAAUAACCCCUAACUUAAGAUCAAUAUUUUUAGUAAAGUCCUAAAGGCAACUUCCUAGCAUCUUCCUACAUCAGUUAUAAAGAUUCUUUUUCACUUAGAAUUCACAUAUUACCCCUAAAGCCUUGUUAAUUACCCCUGAAAAUCAGACCAAAAUGGGUCAAAACGACCCAAUAACUCAAACCUAUUUUGGACAGACUGCUCUUUGCCAGUGGAUCAAAGACUAGACAAAGCCCAAGCGACCACUUAUCUAAUUAAAAGAAAAGAAAAUAUGCAAACAGGAUAAUAUGAAGUGAUUCCAAAGAUAAUCCUAAUUAAAGUGUUGAUCAAUUAAUACAACUAGGUAAGGAAUUACCUAAGUUGAUAAAUCAAAAUAAAUUGAUUAAACCAAACUAGAGAGACUAACAAAAGGAAAUCAGAAACUUACCUAAGAUUAAAUAGAUGGAUAAAUAAAGUUAGUGAACAAGCUUUCGAAAGUGAAAAGAAAACUAAAAAUAAACGGAAUUAAACACAAACCACACAUUAAUCUAAAAGGGAAAAAACUAAAUUCGGGACUAUUCACAGAAGACAAGAUCAUUCAAGGUAAACAGAGAAGAAAAGAAGGAGAACAAGCGAUAAAAUAAAUAAAACGGACAGAAAGAAAAAAUGACCAGGCAAAACUUGAAACCAAACUAGAAUUCCUUGAUUUGAUGAAACUGACGCUAAUCACUUGUUCUUUGUUUAGAACAAGUGGACAACAUCGAUUUUGUGUCGAACCAGGCCUUUAAAACAUGAAAAUCAAAGGGAUGGGCCAUUGCAUGCUAUAGAAUUGAGGGCGAGUAUGUUUGAGAUUUUUAAGGUCUUGAAUUCGAUUUAAUAUUCUAGCAGCUCUGGACAGAUUCGAUUGAAACUAAGGAUAGAUUGGGAAAGAGGGGGCUAUGGAAGUCUUAUGGUAUUGAUUUGAGGUGAUUUGGGGGUGGCGCCGCCGGCCGGUGGCGGUGGGAAAUCGAGGAGGCCCCCUAAGGUUCGUGGUUAAAACUAUGAGAGUAUGAAGUUAGGGAGACAACU
rnacentral:lncRNA from 1 species